AUUGAACGCUGGCGGCGUGCCUAACACAUGCAAGUCGAGCGGCAGCGCGGGAGCAAUCCUGGCGGCGAGCGGCGGACGGGUGAGUAAUGCUUGGGAAUCUGCCUGUUAGUGGGGGACAACCCGGGGAAACUCGGGCUAAUACCGCAUACGCACUACGGUGGAAAGCCGGGGACCGCAAGGCCUGGCGCUAACAGAUGAGCCCAUGUCGGAUUAGCUAGUUGGUAGGGUAACGGCCUACCAAGGCGACGAUCCGUAACUGGUCUGAGAGGACGACCAGUCACACCGGAACUGAGACACGGUCCGGACUCCUACGGGAGGCAGCAGUGGGGAAUAUUGGACAAUGGGGGAAACCCUGAUCCAGCGACGCCGCGUGGUGAAGAAGGCCUGCGGGUUA
rnacentral:rRNA from 1 species